AAACGUUCUCCAAAGCGCUAAAAUGAAAAUAGUUGCCGCAUGAACUAUGAGCUGUAUGAGUUCCACAGAAUCAGACGGAAAGGACUAUACCUCCUAUGAAAAGAUCGUAAUGAAGAUUGUAUAUUGAAUUUUGGUCUAUACCUUCUAUGAAAAGAUCGAGUGGAAGAUUGUAUAUCGAAUUUUGGUGUUAAGGAUACAAGAAGUGUACAAGACUAAAGUGCUUGGAGUCAUGCUGGUCGCCUAAGUAUGCUGCAGUUACUACUUCCGGCGAACGACCCAUGAUAUCUAUGGCAUAGACGAAUAUUCACAUAUGUAUCUCGUAUAAUCUUCUCCAGCAGGAUAUUAAAGAGAUCACACGAUAAGCUGUCUCCUUGGCUGAAACCUCGUUUGGUAUUGUAUGGGAUACCAAACUCCAUGGCAGCCGGUUGUACGAACCGGAUUGACCCCAUUAAAUCAUGAGUCAUGAGCAAGGUCUGCCGCCUCAGUGGGCAAUAAUGCUGCAACAACAACAGCCAAACUCAGACAUGGCUUGAAAUACCUUUGAACGUAUAGGGCACAUGUGUUAGUGUGCGUAAUAUUUCCAAACCCAUGGGCUUAUGCUCUUGCACACUUUCACAAAUAUGUACUAUCGAAAGCGGAUUUGUAGUCAACAAAGAGAUGCUAAAAGUUGAGCUGUCCUUCUCGGGUCUUUUCCAAAAUUUGGCGCAGUGUGAAUAUCAGUUCUAUGAUUGCAACUCAUCUAUUGUUGGAUUGCCACGAAUCAAACCAUGAAAUAUUGUAACAAGUGAAAAGGCAUUAAGUUUGGCCGGGCCGAACUUUGGAUA